GGUGAACGCUGGCGGCGUGCAUUAAGCAUGCAAGUAGAACGAGCUCGGCUUGCCGAGUUAGUUGCGAACGGCUGAGUAACGCGUAGGUAUCUACCUUUUGGUGGGGAAUACCCACGGGAAACCGUGGUUAAUACCGCAUAAGAUCUCCGGAUGAAAGGGCAUAACUGCCCGCCGAAAGAGGAGCCUGCGUCCCAUCAGCUUGUUGGUGGGGUAAUGGCCUACCAAGGCUACGACGGGUAGGGGGCGUGAGAGCGUGGCCCCCCAGAAUGGGACUGAGACACGGCCCAUACACCUACGGGUGGCAGCAACUGGGAAUCGUACGCAAUGGGCGAAAGCCUGACGUCGCGACGCCGCGUGUGGGAUGAAAGCCUUCGGGUCGUAAACCACUUUUAUUAAUGUCGAGAGGCAUUUUUGAAUAAGCACCCGCUAACCACGUGCCAGCAGCUGCGGUAAUACGUGGGGUGCAAGCGUUGCCCGGAUUUACUGGGCGUAAAGAGUGCGUAGGCGUGUUGACAAGUUAUCUUUCAAAGACCGGGGCUUAACCGCGGAAAGGGAGAUAAUACUGUCAGCAUAGAAAGAUUCAGGGGCUACUGAACUAUCGGUGUAGGGGUGAAAUCCGUUGAUAUCGAUAGGAACUCGAGGGCGAAGGCAGGUAGCUGGGAAUUCUUUGACGCUGAGGUACGAAAGCUAGGGGAGCGAAAGGGAUUAGAGACCCCUGUAGUCCUAGCCGUAAACGAUGCUCGCUAGCUCUUGGGCUUUUAUUAGUUCAUGGGCGUAAGCUAACGCGUGAAGCGAGCCGCCUGGGGAGUACGGCCGCAAGGCUAAAACUCAAAGGAAUUGACGGGGACCCGCACAACCAGUGGAUUAUGUGGUUUAAUUCGAGACGAACCGAAGAACCUUACCUGGACUUGACAUCAUACCGUUUAGGCACCUAGAGAUAGGAGCUGAUCUAUGAGUUUCAUGGAAGGUAUGACAGGUGUUGCAUGGCCGUCGUCAGCUCGUGCCGUGGGGUGUUCCCUUAAGUGGGGUAACGAGCGCAACCCCUGCCGUAUGUUGAAUUGUUCAUACGGGACUAUCUGCCUUUGGCAGGAGGAAGUGGGGACGACGUCAGGUCAGCAUGGCCCUUAUGUCCAGGGCGACACACAUAAUACAAUGAAGCCGACAAUGGGUUGCCAAGUGGUAACACGGAGCUAAUCCCAA
rnacentral:rRNA from 1 species